rnacentral:pre_miRNA from 1 species
GUAAGGUGUAUUUUUAUAGUGUUUAUAUUCCACGUUUAAUCGUUUGUUUUAUUUUAAAAAAUUAUGAUUAGUAUUUUUAUUGCUAUUGGAUGAUAAAACAUGAAUAACUUUAUAUGUGACUAUAUUUAGAAAAAAAUUCUUAAAAUUUUGAAAUAAGAUGAAAUAUUAAAUGUUGAACACGUAAAUCCACAAAUACAGUCAUA